rnacentral:rRNA from 1 species
CCUACGGGGGGCAGCAGUGAGGAAUAUUGGUCAAUGGUCGGGAGACUGAACCAGCCAAGCCGCGUGAGGGAUGAAGGUACAGAGUAUCGUAAACCUCUUUUGUCAGGGAACAAAGGCGGGGACGCGUCCCCGGAUGAGUGUACCUGAAGAAAAAGCAUCGGCUAACUCCGUGCCAGCAGCCGCGGUAAUACGGAGGAUGCGAGCGUUAUCCGGAUUUAUUGGGUUUAAAGGGUGCGCAGGCGGUCUGUUAAGCCAGCGGGAAAAGCCCGGGGUUCAACCCCGGACCGCCGUUGAAACUGGCAGUCUCGAGUUGGAGAGAAGUAUGCGGAAUGCGCGGUGUAGCGGUGAAAUGCAUAGAUAUCGCGCAGAACUCCGAUUGCGAAGGCAGCAUGCCGGCUCCACACUGACGCUGAGGCACGAAAGCGUGGGUAUCGAACAGGAUUAGAUACCCUUGUAGUC